rnacentral:rRNA from 2 species
ACGGCGAGUGAAGCGGCAAAAGCUCAAAUUUGAAAUCUGGCACUUUCAGUGUCCGAGUUGUAAUUUGAAGAAGGUAACUUUGGAGUUGGCCCUUGUCUAUGUUCCUUGGAACAGGACGUCACAGAGGGUGAGAAUCCCGUGCGAUGAGGUGUCCAAUUCUAUGUAAAGUGCUUUCGAAGAGUCGAGUUGUUUGGGAAUGCAGCUCUAAGUGGGUGGUAAAUUCCAUCUAAAGCUAAAUAUUGGCGAGAGACCGAUAGCGAACAAGUACAGUGAUGGAAAGAUGAAAAGAACUUUGAAAAGAGAGUGAAAAAGUACGUGAAAUUGUUGAAAGGGAAGGGCUUGAGAUCAGACUCGGUAUUUUGCAAGCCUAUCCUUCGUGGAGAGGUUUAUUAGCAGCUUACCGGGCCAGCAUCGGUUUGGAUGGUAGGAUAAUGGCAUUGGAAUGUGGCUCCUCGGAGUGUUAUAGCCUUUGUUGAUACUGCCUAUCUAGACCGAGGACUGCGUCUUUGACUAGGAUGCUGGCGUAAUGAUCUUAAGCCGCCCGUCUUGA